UCAUUGGGUCCCACGUGUUAAAAAAUCCGAGAAAGUAGAAAAAUAAUCAUCCUUGAGGGGAACACAAUAAAAGAUACACCUCGCCGACUUGCAGGACCCUGAUGUCAGCCCCAACCCUUUUUUCUGAUCUGUGGGUCCCACGUGUAAGUCCCUUGGACAUAAACACGGUGUCUCACCUCGCGGCUUCCGUCUCUCCAUCUCCGCACGGCGUCAUCCGCGCCGCCAUCUCCUCCCACUUCCCCUCUCUUCGCCCAAGUCCGGCCAUCCGCGCCGCAAGUUAGGGCGAUUCUCGUCCUCUCCUUCUACCAAGGGGCCAUGUCCGACCGGGAUCCGCUCGCCCACCUCACGGCCAUCGACAUCCCGCCGCCCGUCGUCGUCGUCAUCCCGCCACCCCUACUCCACCACGCACCCGAGCCGCGGCACCUACUCGGAAACGCCGCCCGCACCUGAUGUGCCUGCAACAGGCAUCAAAGGAGGCGCCAGCCCUAGCAAGUACAAAGGAAAGGGAGCCUCUGCCACCAAGGUCAAGAAGGACAUUGAGCGACAUCUAGUGCAUGGACAGGGUGCCGUUUCUCCUUUCAAUGUUCCAGCAAAUAUAUGAUCUAUAAAUUUCUUGAAUCCUUUUUGUCACUCCUCUGCUUGUUGCGGCAAGCGCAUCCAAGACCUAUCAUUGCCCAAAGACAUGCUCCCCAAUCUCUUCAAUUAAAAUCACACACUAAUUAAAGAGAUCAA